UACGGGGGGAGCAAGCGUUAAUCGGAAUUACUGGGCGUAAAGCGUGCGCAGGCGGUUUUGUAAGCCAGAUGUGAAAUCCCCGGGCUUAACCUGGGAAUGGCAUUUGGGACUGCAAGGCUGGAGUGUGGCAGAGGAGACUGGAAUUCCUGGUGUAGCAGUGAAAUGCGUAGAUAUCAGGAGGAAUACCGAUGGCGAAGGCAGGUCUCUGGGCUGACACUGACGCUCAUGCACGAAAGCGUGGGGAGCAAACAGG
rnacentral:rRNA from 1 species